CUGAAUGUUGUUGAUCUUGGUUAGGUGGAAGGCGCAUUCGUGCAAGGGAUCGGCUUCUUCACGAACGAGGAGUACGCGACCAACUCCGAUGGGCUGGUCAUCCACGACAGCACGUGGACGUACAAGAUCCCCACCGUGGACACCAUCCCCAAGCAGUUCAACGUCGAGCUCAUCAACAGCGCCCGCGUUCACAAGCGCGUCCUCUCCUCCAAAGCGUCCGGUGAAGCCGCCGCCGCUGCUGGCGUCGUCGGUGCACUGCGCGAUGAGGGAGGCGAUCAAUCAGGGCGGCCAGGAAGGAGUUCGCCGGCGCCGGCGGCUCGGCGAUGACUUUCCAGAUGGACGUGCCGGCGACGAUGCCGGCCGUCAAGGAGCUCUGCGGCCUCGACGUCGUCGAGAGGUAUCUCGAGAGCUUUACUGCCAAAGCCUAGAGAUAGAUGAUGAUGGUUCAUUGGCUUCGCUUGCAACAUUAAGGGAGAAUAGCUAAUAUGGUCUCUAAAGUUUCGCUCCUGGGUUAUUUUAGUCCUUAAUCUUUCAUAUUAUCCAAACAAGUCCUUUAAAUUUGUCAUGUGGGCUAAUAUAGUCUCUGGUUCCACUAAAAUCGUCACAUAGACAUGCCAUGUCACCUUCCUAUGCAAAAUCUAUAUGAUAGAAAAUAAAAAACAAAAGGAAAAAUUUAAAAAAUAUAUAUGGUAUAUAUAAGAGCAAAAAUAUACCUUAAAAGGGUGAAAAAAGAAGUAUAUUUUUUCAUAUGGUUAUGUCUAAUUCACCCUUAUAUUUAUUUUUCUAUGAUAUACGUAAAGGUAAAUUGGACAAUUCAUCAUAGAUUUUGCAUGAAUGAUGACAUAACAUAUCCAUAUGAUGAUUUUAGUGGACCCAAGGACUAUUCUAGGUCUUAUGACAAAUGUUAAGGAUUUUUUUGGACCAUUUAAAAGGUUAGGGACUAAACUAAUCCUACAGAGAAACUUUAGGGACUGCUGGCUCGUUUGUUGAUGCAUGAAGAAGAAAAGUAUUUUUCUUUUUGAAAAAAAACCAGUAUAUGUAUGAAAAUCAUAUGCGAUUAUGCAUGGUAAUGUUACUACCUUUGCCUGAUGACU